ensembl:scaRNA
GGCCUCUCUGGUUGGGCUACUAGGGGUCCCUUUGCUCCUCAGCCAGGGCGGGAGGCCAAGAUCAGCCUGGGAGGAGCAUUGUCAAUGUUGCCACAAGUGGGCAGCCUUAUUUUCCCGCGUUGGACAUGC